rnacentral:tRNA from 1 species
AGGGCGUUGGCGCAACGGUAGCGCGUCUGACUCCAGAUCAGAAGGUUGGGUGUUCGAAUCACUCACGCCUCA